UUAGGCAAAUGUUUGUUGAAAUAAGUGGAGAUUUCCUGGUUUUCUUUUUGGAGGAAAAAAAAGGAAAGAAACAAAGUUUCUUUAUAGGAUGAGCUCAGGGUGUUUUGCAAUUACCCUUACUUGUGCUUGAGCGCUUUUUUCCCCUUGUUGAGUAGGAGCAGACAAUGUUUUCCAUUCCAGUUUCUUCUUACAGUUGCAGAGUGGGUGCCGAUGGGCGCAGUGUUGUGGCUUUUACUGGUGAGCCAAAUAUCACAGCUAGAAUGGAUGGUGGAAGGCAUUAUGGACAACACCUGUGACUUGUCACACGGACAACAUUUGCUUUUCACACCAUUAGGAGAGGUGUAGACUGACCAGGAGAAGAGAGACUUGACUGUAGGCUGGAAGGUCAAAUUGGAUGAGGCCAGUGGACUUCGGGGAUGGUGCUGAAUAACCGAUGUGUUUGCUGAUGAGGAUUUUGACCAUUUUCAAAAAUAAAAACAUUUUUAAAUAAUAUUUAGUUUUGUUUCUUUCAGAAAGUCUUGUGUGAACACCUUCUAUUUAUAUUUAGUGACAGUAAUUUCUCCAGCCUGAAAAAUUUCCUCUUGUUUCUUUCAAACCUUAAUGUUUUUAAAAGAGCAGCGACUUCAUUUUCAUUUCCCCGUCACAACACUGUAUUUAAUAAUUAGAAUUCCUUAGAAAAGCUUAAUUAAAUUAAAAAUAUAAAUAUGUAUGGGAAAAAUACUUUCUAAAAUUUGACAUUUACAUUAUUUUAAUUUAUCUGGAUAAUAUAAAAAAAUAUAUAAAUUAUUAUUAAGAUUUUACUUACAUAAUGUAAAACAUUUUUAAAGCAUGAAGGUUAACAGGUGGAACUUUCAUGUGUGUUUUGUUUUUGUGGCAUUAAACAUAAUGUGAAUAUAAAGCUUAUUACUUAUAUAACGUAGCUUGUUGACUUCAGUCCAACAGGUGGUUCUGAGAAUUUCAAAUAAUAGGUGCUUACUGUCAGCAGCCUUUUGAAGUAAUCGAGUUCUUAUAACGCUUAGUCUGAUUAUAGUCCAUGAUAUUGUUAUUUAGUUUUAUUGUACAUGUAAGUGGAUUCUACUCCCACAAGGUUUUCUCAGCGCUCUGACUUGCAUGUCCAAUAUUAUUAGUUGCUAUGAGUUCAGCCUGCGCAAAUCUGUUAAUGCAUAAGACCAUAAGAGCUUCUUAUGUUCCAAGCCAGGUCAGAGUGAAGACACAUCAGAUUAAUAUUUGAUCAUGCAGAAGGGCCCUUAAUCAGAUUUGCUUAUUCCCUUAGCUGAGUGCUCUGCAGCAAUUAUCAUAAUUGUUGCGCUAAACAUGCUUGUCUUUACGGCUAGCGGUUGGACGUGAGCGUAUGCUGUGAGAGGGGGAUUCCAGUACCAAACCCAAUUAGUGCAGGAUGGAUGGAUGGGCAUGCCGAGGGAGAUGGAGGAUAUAGAGAAGGGGAGGGCCAUGGGCAGGGAUGCUGGUCCAGCUCACAGUGACAUAGCCCAGGGCAGCACAGUUAACUCCAGCCACCUGGAGCUCUUCAGGACAGGCUCUCCCCAUGCUGUAAUCUGCCCUCAGCAUUGCCACCAGCGCCUGCUGAUACGAGGGAAAUUAGAGAUGCACCAGGAAAAUGGCAAUUUCAGUCUACAAGUGUCUAUUCAGUUGCAAAACUCAAAGAUUUUCUGUGCUGACAGAGUUCUCAAACUUCAUAGCAUUUUUUUUUCCACAAACGGAAGUCACAUUAAUAUUAAUACUGAAAGUGUGUAUAAUAAACCAGGGGAAUAUAGGCUUUAGUUUGCAUUUGAGGAAAUACCAGUACAUGUCUGCUUAUUAGGACCCAAGAGGCUCAUUCAGUUACCCGUAUAAGUUUAUGCUGAAUUACUGAGAUUUUAUACAGAAACAUAUGUGAUAGGAAGAUGUAGAUAUACAGUAACAUUCAUAGAUAUUAUCUAUCAAAAUACAUUAAGAACAAUGUGACCAGAUUUCCUGUAACUUUUCUGAGAUAUGUGGUUUAUUCAACACUGAUGGAAGCAACUACAUUGAUAUUCAUGUAAAUAUAUGAAGGAUUUUUUUGUAAUUUAAGUAAAAACAAUAAAUUAAAGAUAAAAAAAAAACAAUUUUCAUGACUAUGUUAACCAUACAACAUAUUUUUGAAUAAUAAGUUUAAGGAACCUACUACCUGAAGCUGAAUGAAAAGUGGUUUGUAAAGGAAUUGAUGCAACUUUGUUAAAUGUUUUACAACAUGUCGUUUUAUAAAACUCCCUGCAUUUAUUUUUGCUUCAAAAUGAAUACCUGAUCACAAUGAUCACAACAACUUUCAAAGUAUUUACAGAAUAUAUUUCUUUGGUGGUAUUUCUGAUGUUUUGCUGAAUGUGUAAAGACCUUUUCGAUGGAAGACAUUUGUGACUCAAAUCCUGUUCUCGUUUUAAGCAAAACCAAUAAAAAAUACCAAAGCA